UGCGUAGGCGGUCCUACAAGUCAGAGGUGAAAGGCUACGGCUCAACCGUAGUAAGCCUUUGAAACUGUAGGACUUGAGUGCAGGAGAGGAGAGUGGAAUUCCCAGUGUAGCGGUGAAAUGCGUAGAUAUUGGGAGGAACACCAGUUGCGAAGGCGGCUCUCUGGACUGUAACUGACGCUGAGGCACGAAAGCGUGGGGAGCGAACA
rnacentral:rRNA from 1 species